GUUUUGGAUAUUAUUGCAACCAUAAACAAGGGAUCCAUUGUCUGGCAGGAGGUUUUUGAUGAUAAAGCAAAGUUGCGCCGGGCACAAUAGUUGAAGUAUGGAAAGACAGCGCAUAUCCUGAGGAACUCAGUAGAGUCACAGCAUCUGGCUUCCCUGUAAUCCUUUCUGCUCCUUGGUACUUAGAUUUGAUUAGCUAUGGACAAGAUUGGAGGAAAUACUAUAAAGUGGAACCUCUUGAUUUUGGCG
rnacentral:lncRNA from 1 species